rnacentral:rRNA from 1 species
CAAAGGGAUUACCGGUGGCGGAUGGGCAUGCGGCGCAUUAGCUAGUCGGCGGGGUAACGGCCCACCGAGGCGACGAUGCGUAGGGGUUCUGAGAGGAAGGUCCCCCACACUGGUACUGAGACACGGACCAGACUCCUACGGGAGGCAGCAGUGAGGAAUAUUGGUCAAUGGGCGCGAGCCUGAACCAGCCAAGUCGCGUGAGGGAUGACGGUCCUAUGGAUUGUAAACCUCUUUUGCCGGGGAGCAAGCGUGCGUUCGUGAACGCGCGUCGAGAGUACCCGGAGAAAAAGCAUCGGCUAACUCCGUGCCAGCAGCCGCGGUAAUACGGAGGAUGCGAGCGUUAUCCGGAUUUAUUGGGUUUAAAGGGUGCGUAGGCGGGAUGCCAAGUCAGCGGUAAAAAUGCGGUGCUCAACGCCGUCGAGCCGUUGAAACUGGCGUUCUUGAGUGGGCGAGAAGUAUGCGGAAUGCGUGGUGUAGCGGUGAAAUGCAUAGAUAUCACGCAGAACUCCGAUUGCGAAGGCAGCAUACCGGCGCCCUACUGACGCUGAGGCACGAAAGCGUGGGUAUCGAACAGGAUUAGAUACCCUGGUAGUCCACGCAGUAAACGAUGAAUGCUAACUGUCCGGCUCGAAUGAGCGCUGG